rnacentral:lncRNA from 1 species
UGGUGCACCCCGAAUUUUUGAGAAAGAGAUUGCAUCAUUUAAUGUGUUUGAGAGUCCGCUUUUCAACUACUUUAAGGAUACCCCUGAUGAGCAAUGGGUCAGGACAAUUGAUUUCACACCAUUCUGCCUUAUUGGGCAUUCAUCUGGCUUAUGUUUGGAGUUUCCUUCCAGCAUUAAUGUUCCGAAAUUUCAGGAGAACUUUUCUUACUAUAAAGAAAGUGAAGGAAUUUUUGUUUUGGAGAAUGGUAAUGCUUUUUCUCGCAAUCUGGAUCUAGUUCCGAUUGUUGGUCCUCCCUCAGGCGUUGAUUUGCCAUUUGAGAUAUUAUUUCGCGUUAAUUUGUUGGUUCAGAAUGGGUGCCUUCCAGGGUCAGCACUUGAUUCUAGUUUUUACAAGUUGGUUGAUCCAAGUAGGAUGAAUAUUGACUGCAUAGAGCAUGCACUUGAGAAGCUUUUUCACUUGAAAGAAUGUUGUUAUGAACCUUCUAGGUGGCUUGAUGAGCAGUACAGAAAGUAUCUUAAGUCUAAGUACCUUCCAAGAUCACCUUCGAUAUCCCUAGACUCUGGUUUGGUAUACGUGCGUAGGGUCCAAAUUACACCAUGCAAAGUCUAUUUUUGUGGUCCAGAGGUUAAUGUCUCAAACCGCGUGAUACGCCACUAUUCAAAAGAUAUUAAUAAUUUUCUCCGUGUGUCUUUUGUUGAUGAGGAGUUAGAGAAAAUUAUGUUUGCUUCAAGAUAUGGGCUCACUGCUGCAGAUAUAAGAGAAUGGAUGGGAAACUUUCGUCAGAUACGAAACGUGGCUAAAUAUGCAGCCAGAUUAGGUCAGUCUUUUGGUUCAUCCACUGAAACACUGAGUGUUAGUAGAAAUGAAAUUGAAAUUCUUCCAGAUGUAGAGGUUGAAAGGGGCAGAACCAAAUAUUUGUUCUCUGAUGGAAUAGGCAAAAUAUCUGCUGAGUUCGCUCGGAGAGUGGCGUUGAAAUGUGGGCACCAAGGUUUCUAUCCAUCUGCAUUUCAAAUUCGUUAUGGUGGGUAUAAAGGUGUUGUGGCUGUUGAUCCAACUUCUUCUAAAAAAUUAUCAUUGAGAAAAAGCAUGUGCAAGUAUGAGUCUGAAAAUACAAAACUGGAUGUUUUGGGUUAUAGCAAGUAUCAGCCUUGUUUUCUGAAUCGCCAAAUGAUUACUCUUCUUUCGACCCUUGGUGUUGCGGACCAUAUCUUUGAGAAGAAACAGAGAGAAGCUGUUGAUCAACUAGAUGCCAUUUUAACAAACUCGUUAAGGGCCCAAGAAGCACUAGAUUUGAUGUCUCCAGGAGAGACCACUAACAUUCUCAACGAAAUGCUUUUGUGUGGUUAUCAGCCUGAUGCUGAACCAUUCCUUUCAAUGAUGCUCCAAAUGUUCCGAGCAUCAAAGUUGCUUGAUCUGCGGACAAAAUCUAGAAUCUUUGUUCCAAAUGGAAGAUCUAUGAUGGGAUGUUUGGAUGAGACAAGAAACUUGGAAUAUGGCCAGGUAUUUGUGCAAUUUUCUGGUAGUAAACAUAAGCAGGUGUAUGAUAAUUCCACCAUGUUUGGAGGCAUUGGAUCAGGCAACCGUUUUGUGAUUGAGGGAAAGGUCAUUGUAGCUAAAAACCCAUGUUUGCACCCAGGUGAUAUUCGUGUUUUAAGGGCUGUGAAUGUACCAGAUUUGCACCAUAUGGUGGACUGUGUUGUUUUUCCACAGAAAGGACCAAGGUAUAUCUCUGUCUCUUCCAACCUUAUAGCUUAGGUCAUUCUUUAGUUAAGUCAAUUUGGUUUCUGGUUUGAGUUGUCUUUGCCGAAGUUCUAUAUGUAUAACUGAGAGUUCUUAGAUUUACUUUUCCAGUUGCAUUUGCAAAGGUACAGAUUUGAAAAAUAGAAAAAUCCCUGCUUUUUUCAUGCAAGACACAGGAAUUUACCUUUUAUCAAAAGAGAACUUGGAAAUAUGCUCUCUUCUUGUCUACUCUCCAAUAUCAUUUCUCUAUUUCUCCAAUGGGUUCUGAACCACAAAGUCCCAACUUCAAAGAUAGCUGGACUCAGUUAUAUAAGAAUGAGAGAGGGAUAGAAAGUUGUGUAUGUGCAGCUAUGUUCCUAUAGAUGUUUAAGUUCUUAUCUUCUGGGUGUCUUUCACAGCGGAUUGAACCUUAUAAUAUCAUUGUUGUUAUUGUAGUUAAUCAUUAUUGCUGUUAUUAUGAUGUUCGCUGUCCAUGUUAUCAUCAUCUAUAUGAUAGUUCUACUUCUGUUGUGUCUGCCUAUGUUUGGGCUGUUUUGGCCUACUUCUGUGGUAUUACUGUAGGAAACUAGUUGAGUUGUGAGAUAACUAGGUCUGUCACAUCAGCUAUCUGAAAUCUUUUCUGUAAGAUAACCACUCCCUUCAAUGAAUGUAACUGGUAUCUGUGUUCCCUUUUAUUAUUUGACAUGUGCAGUAGGCUUCUUGUGGAUAACAGUAGAACGUACCAAUGGAAACUCCUGCUUCCUUAGAAAUACCUAGGCUGUAUUCUGUGGACAUUGCUUCAUCAUCUCUGAUUUAUUUGUCUGAUGAAGCUGACUGACAGAGGCAGGGUGUUAUUAUUGUUUCUAUUUUUUUUUUUUUGUGGGGGGGCGGGGGUGGGAAAGAGAGUUUGGUGGUUGGAGGUUGCAGGGGGAAGACUCCUGUGCUUUGGAAUUUCAAUUGACACUAACAUGGACACCUUACCUCUCUUUGUUUUUCAAGUGCUAACAGAGUAAAAGACUAGUAUUAUAGUGUCCCUUUUCAGAUUUUUUUUUUUUUGUUUUUUUUAAGUGUGAAAACAGUAUUAACAUUAGUAUCUGAAUUGCAAUCUUAGACCUCAUCCAAAUGAAUGCUCGGGUAGUGAUUUAGAUGGAGAUAUCUACUUUGUCUGCUGGGACCCUGAUUUAAUCCCACGUCUGCAAAUCCCACCAAUGGACUAUACACCAGAGCCAAGUUUGCAACUCGAUCAUGAUGUCACAAUUCAGGUACUACAUGUGUACAUAUGAAAUGUCGGAGCAAUUAUAUAUCAUCAACAAUAAUACUAUUGUUUCGCUAUCUUUUAAGAUUAUUCAGUCACUUCAUCAAUUUUUUUUCUCUUCUAUGGUACAUUCUGGUAUUGUCAAACUUAAAGCUGCAAUGCUUCAAAAAUACAUACGUUCCUUAAUUUUUUUUUUUUCUUUAUGACAGAGGAUUUAGUUUUGUACAUAGUUUCAAUACUAAUAGGUGUUUACUUUUAAUUUUUGUUUUUACUUGUGGUGCCUUUAUUUCUGUAUUAUGAUGACUUUACUCCACCUGCAUCUUUUAUGUGUCAAAGUCAUUUUUUGUUUUCUGGAUUAGUUUGCUCUUAUGUAUCUAUAGCAUAUGCUAAUAGACAUGCAUAUGGAUUUUUCUUAUUAUAUAAAGCAAUAAUUUACACAAUUUACAAGAAAAAUAAGAAGCAGAUGGAAAGGGAAUUGCUGAUUAUCUGGUUUUCUGAAUCUCAGGGAAGCUGCAAAAGCAAACUUUGGCCCGGGCCUUUUUAAUUUAUGUGACAAUGAUAUCUUGUACUUUUUAAUUCUUUUAGCUAUCUCAUUUGUGCAAUUUUAAGCAAUAAUCUAACUGUUUUUUUCGGUCCCCUCUGGGCACAAUGCUUCGUUUUUGUGUAAAAGUGGAUGCUUCGAACUACAACGUAAGGUAGUUCAGUCCAAGAGAGUCAUUAUUCUAUCAACCUCAUAACUGGUCCUUUUUUUGAAUGCUUAAAAAAAAAAAAUAGAAAAAGGAAAUGUGAUACUGAAAAAUCCUUUAGAACAGUGAAAUCUUAGGUUUUGUAUCUGUAUGCAUCAAGUUCUAACUGCAAACUCUGUUUUUUGCUUUAGCUUGAUUUUUUUUUUUUUAAUCGUGCAGCUAGAAAACCACAUUUCCCUUUUAUUCACAGAUUUUCAUUUUGCUUUCUACAGGAAGUUGAGGAGUAUUUCACCAAUUACAUCUUAAAUGACAGCUUGGGAAUCAUUUCUAAUGCUCACACCGUCUUUGCUGAUAGGGAACCUGCAAAAGCAAUGAGUAAACCAUGUCUGGAACUUGCAAGUAAAUUUUCAAUUGCAGUUGAUUUUCCAAAAACUGGAGUACCAGCUGAAAUUCAUUCUCAUCUACGUGUCAAAGAAUAUCCUGAUUUCAUGGAAAAGCCUGACAAACCCACCUAUGAAUCUCAGAAUGUGAUUGGAAAGCUUUUCCGAGCAGUGAGAGACAUUGCACCACAUACAAGCUCUAUUAAGUCCUUUACUUUGGAAGUGGCAAGGCAGUGUUAUGACCCUGAUAUGGAAGUUGAUGGUUUUGAGGAUUAUAUAGAUGAUGCCUUCUAUUACAAAACGAAUUAUGAUUACAAAUUGGGUAAUCAUAUGGACUAUUAUGGCAUCAGAACUGAGGCUGAAAUUCUCGGUGGAAGUAUUAUGAAAAUGUCAAAAGCUUUCACCAAGAAAAGGGACGCAGAAGCAAUUGGUUUGGCGGUGAGGUCCUUAAGAAAAGAAGCAAGAUCUUGGUUUAAAGAAAGGGGAAGUGGAUUAGAUUCUGAAGAAGAUGAUGUUUAUGCAAAAGCCUCCGCUUGGUACUAUGUUACUUAUCAUCCUAGUUAUUGGGGUUGCUACAACGAGGGAAUGAAUCGAGAUCAUUUUCUUAGCUUUCCUUGGUGUGUUUAUGACAAGCUGAUCCAGAUCAAGAGGAAGAGAAGGUGUCAAAAUUUAUCAUUGCUUGAACGCCAGUUUGGGCUUGGACUGCAUUUUCAUUAACAAAUGUGAAAUUUUGAACAUGUCUAUAUGUUCAUAGUCUUGGUUUGAGUUUGCCAGCUAAUCCAGAUCAGCGGAACAAAUCAAGGAUCAACCAGGUUCCUACUUUUUUCUCUUUACAGAUUUUCCAUGUAGAUGUGGACUGCUUUUGAGUUUAGAAGGUAAUCAAAAUAUAUGGCUAUACAUAUGGUUAUGAAUAUGUAAUAUUUCAAAGACAAUAUAUGAUGUAAAUGUUUAUGUUCAUAUAAUGGCAGAANNNNNNNNNNNNNNNNNNNNNNNNNNNNNNNNNNNNNNNNNNNNNNNNNNUUUUAUUUGCCUGAUUGUUGAUGCAUUAUCCAUAUUUAGGUGUUAUAUAGCCGUUUUGAGAUACAUGCUAUUCUAGUCGUGCAUGAUCGGUGUUUGUUUUUUUGCUGCAAAUAAUGGGUACUGAUAAUUUGAAUGUUUAACAACAUUUAUUAGUCAGUUUUUCUGGUAUGUAUAACAAAAGCUGCACUGCUAAUUGCUGAUAUGAUAGCUUUUGAUUAUGGCGAUUUUGGUUUCAGAAUAACAGUUAAUUGAGAUCCUUUUCCAUUGCUUGAAAAUGACAAGGGCAUAGCUUCAUGCAUUCUCUUGAGGAACCGUUCAAACAAUUCAUUAACAAUCUCAGCUCCAAAGUGUUUGGUAAUGACUGGUUCUAACCCAGAUUUGAAAUGCAUCAUGAUUGUAUAUUCAGUUGGUUGAUUAUCAGGGCUGCAUUCGCAAUCUGUAGGCUCCAUUCUUUCAAUGCUAAAACACCCACUUUGUUCUAUAAACUGUGUAAGCUCCUUGGGCGUUACACAGUACAAUGGAAUGUUGAAAGAGUCCACAAGUGCUUCACAUAUUAAUCCCUGCAAUCAGGAUUUUGAUUUGGUUAUUUACAUGUUUUAAAUUUUCAUGGGGUUUCACUGUUAUCGUUAAUAUUUAACUUUUCAAACUGUUAUCGUUAAUAUUUAACUAUUGACCAACUAUCAUUAAAAGCUGAUUUUCCAUUGCUGAAUCAAGCAGACCCCUAAAUCUAUAAUUUCAUAUAAUCCACUAGUCUAGUAUGUUUCUAUAUUGUUACCUCUUUUGCCUUGUCCAUGAGGCACGACCCUAAAUGAUUCAGCAAUAUCCCGAUUGGUACAUUCGACGGAGAGACCCCAUCAGGAAUAGAAGGAAUGAUUAUCACCAUCAUGCUUCCCUCUGCAAGUUCUUUUGCUCUGGCAUUCAAGAACAUUCCCAUAUCCUUGCUAAAUUGGGCAGCAAAGGCUUUCACUACUGCUUCUGAUGCACCUGUAUAGUGAACUCUCCCUCCGUUCCAUGCAGGAGAGUCCAUGUCGAACACCUCUUCAGGAACACCAGAAAGCCAAUGUAAUGUGUAGGAGGAAUGCACAAAAUGGAGAGACGAGUCAGGAAACAACUGGGUAUGAUAUGACCUUGGUACCCCUGCUGUAAAAUAUUUCCUGAGGUGGGAGAGACUUGAAAAGGGUAUUAAAGUCGUUAAAUGGAAGAUCAUUAAAGAAAACUUGAAACUGAGGUAUUUGAUCGUAAGUGAAGCCUUCAUUUAUGAACUUUCGCUCCACAGCUUCAAGUAUACUAUGAACAUAGUAAAAGGUGUUUGGUCCUGUUGAACAUCCCAUAUCAGCUAUACAAAAUGCCUUGCUACAUGAAGUUGAUAAAAAUGACUUCGUUUCAAGCUUCUCAUGGAUUGUCUCAUCAAUUAUUCCCUUCAUGAAUUCCAGAAUCCAUUUCUGCAAAAACGAAUUUAAACUUAAUCUUAAAAUACAGAAGUUUCUGCUAUCUUCUUUAAAUAUUUUUCAACAAAAAGAGAACACUACAACUACUUAGUGAUUUAGAAAGUAAAAUACCUGAUGGUGACUGAGGGAGCCCUUGGCAGCAGGCAUCUCGACGCCUAUCUUCAACUCUUCUUCUCUCUCACCUCCAUUUUUGCAUAUUUCAAAGAUUUAUAUUUAUAUGUAUAUGGAAUUAGCCGUCCUCGUAACAUAGAUUCUUUAUGUCCAAAAGAAUGACAUUUUCAAGUAACUCUUGCUCUAUGUCUUGUAGUCAUCAUCAGGCAUAAAGAAUAAGUUUCAGACAACAUCGAAAAUAAAAUUCAUUUUUUAAUUUGCAACAAUAUAUAUAUAUACUGAUACCAACAAAAUACAACAAAAUAAGCGUGUUUUAUGACUAAAGUCUAUGACUAUAGACUAUAGACUUUAAUUAAUGAACAAAAGACUUUAGACUUAUAAAAGACUUUUAAAAUAAAAGACUAAAGACUUUGAAAAUAAAAUGAUAAAGACUUGAAAACUUUAAAAACAAAGACUUACUUAUGCUUUUUAUUGUUUAUCGUAUAUAGACUUAUGUUUUCCAACAAAAACUUAAAGUUGAUAAAGACUUAUGCUUUUUAAUUUUUAUUGUAUAAAGACUUUAAAACUUGAUUUUAAACAAAGUCAUAUAUAUGUAGAGCGCUAAGAUUAUUACUAGGAUUUAAAUAAAUACAGAUACAAACAUUUAAAGAUAAAUCAUAACUGUGAACUAAAAUACUAUGAUUAAUUGGGUUUAUAUGAAUACUUAUAUAAUUCAUUAAAUAUAAUUUUACUUCAGAGUCAACACAAUAUUUCUGAUGUGGAAGAUCAGACUAAGCUGCAUCCACAGAGCAUACUUAUAACAAAUUUUAAUCAACAAUUUUAGCACAAAGGUUUAGGGUUCCUGCAACCUUAACCUAGGAUCCCCAGAAUUAAGUCAGAGUGUGGAGGGAGAAGAGAAAGGUGCCGUAAACACGGACUUAUAUUCGUAGCAGUUUAAAAUAAAAUACAAACUUUAUUUAAUUACAAAAUAUAAAUACAAGAUUUAAAACUUACAANNNNNNNNNNNNNNNNNAUAUAUAUAUAUAUAUAUAUAUUGUGAUGCAUUUAUGGUGAAAAAUAAUAACUGGGAAGAGGUAAACUUAGAACCAACUGAAGGGAAGUUAUCUCAAAAGAUCUACUAUUCUUCGAUGUCAGUACAGAUUUAGCUAUGAACAGGUCAGAAUGAAAACAAAAGAUUCGUAUAGUUUGAGAUUAAAGUUUAGUCGUAGCUAUAAUAAAAAUAUUUAUAUAUACAAUUGAAUUUAUAUUUAUUUUUCUUCUCUAACAGCAUAAUUAAGUGUGUAGAAGAUUUUCACAGGUACAGGUAUUAUUUUACUUGGAACGUAUAGUUUUAACUGGCAGCACUAGUUCGACUGGUUAAUUAUGCUAGUUUGUACUUAUUGGGAACUUGUUUACUAAUUGCUAUGCCAUUGACAAUUUCUGAUGCCACUCAAUAUGUUCUUUUAUGUUCAUAUAGGGGACGACCAAACUCUUGCUUUUUCGGGAUCUACAAUUACAAUGCCGUUUUGAUUUGUAAAAAGUCUUGCAUGUCUGUAUUUUCCUAGUCAGGGAAUUAAAAUUUCGACUUGGAGGCUUCACUUUGAUUACUAGCAAUAAUUUGAUAUGACGGCGGCGAAGUCUAGUUAUAGCUUUCCCAAAUAGUAGAGACUGAGGUGGAGUAAAUGGGUCCUUGUUGAUUGGCAUUGUGAAGGAAAAUGAGAAGGAACAAUCUACACAAACCAAGUUUUUUGUUAGAUCUUUGUCUUUUGAUAAAUAUUUUUUCUUGGAAUGAUUUCAAGCUUCCAACCUUCACAGUUCCCAAGAAGGCAGGACCGUCUUCUCGCACUGGAUCGAGUAAAAUUGGGCUAAUUUGUGUGGUGGGAGGAGGAAGACCAUGAAGAAAGGGUUAGAGAAAGACUUUUUAGUAUAAUCACGAGGGCAUCAUUUGUUAUUUUAAAAUAAUUUUCUCUCUUAUUUUUUCUUUUCAUCUUUUAACGGAAAACACAUAUUUUUGAAGGGAAGGAUCGAGACGGAAUCAAAUCAUGACGACUCAAUAUUUAAUAUACAACGAUAGGAGAUAGGAGAACAGGAUAAUUAAUUUUGUAAAACCUCAAAUUAUAAUAAUUAUUUUCAAAAAAAAAAAAAAACAGCACCUGAAAAGACGAGAUUGCAUAGCUGUAAUCGCCAUCUCCUCCAUUCAUUACACAUGCAUGAUUCCGCCAUUAACAUUUCCGAAAAAGCUUUAAAUAACUCAAUUCUCUCAAUAAUGAAGCAACUGUUUCUUUUUACAAGUUCUUGCACCUCCUUAGCAGAUGGAAUAUAAAAGGGGAGAUUGAACGAGUCCACUUGCACUUCUCUCACCAAUCCCUGUGCAUGUUUAAACAAAAAUGGAUUAAUUACAAUGGAGAAUUUCUUUAUGGGCGAGCUAUAACUUGGAAGGUCAUGAAUUUGAAUUGAAACAUUCAAAAAUAAGGGUAAGAGGCAAACAAUGGAGAACCUCCCAAAACCAUAUAAUAAGAUGCACAAAGAUAUCAAAUUUUACAAUAAGAUUACAGUAUGAUGAAGUAUAAUUGUAAUAACUGAUAUAAUUAAAUGUAUUUUUAGUAUAAUCACGAGUUCUGAAACUGACCUCUCUAGCCAUGUCCAUGAGGCUAGAUCCCAGAAUAUCAAACGACACGUUAAAUAUUCACAAGAAUGAGAAAUCCCAUCAUGGAUAGUUGGCACCACGAUUAAUAUAAUCCCACCAACCACAAGCUCUUUGGCUCUUGCAUCCAAAAAUAUCUCCAUAUCCUUUUCGAACUGGGUGGCGUAUGCUUUGCAUACUUCAUCUGAGGCACUAGUGUAGAAAAUUCUGCCCUUGUUCCAAACAGGAGAGUGGUUAUUUAGAAUCUCUUCUGGCAUCUGAGUUAGCCAAUGCAAUGAAGCGGAAGUGUGCAUUAGAUGAAGAGAGGACCUGGGGAAUAACCACCCAUGGAAUGACCCUGGCACGCCAGCAGCAAAGUAUCCCCUGUUUGGAUGUAGAGAUCUAAAUAGAGUAUUGAAAUCAUUCAAGACAUGAUCAUUGAGGAACACUUGAAAUUCAGGAAUUGGGGAAGCCAGACCUUGAGAAUGACACUUAUAUUUCACUGCUUCAAUAAUAUUUUCCAUACAAAUAAAGGUAUUUGGCCCAACUGAACAUCCUAAAUCCGCAAUGAACUUGAAGGACCAAAAAUGAGAUCGUUUAUGUUCAGAUUACGAGCAAUUGCCUCAUCAAUCAAACUUCCAGCAUUAUCAAUGACUUCCCUCUGCAAAUAAAGAUCAAAUAAUGCGAAAAAAAAAUUACAUAUAUUUCCUUUUACCAUUUUCUCUAACAUACAAAAUGAGUACCUGAAAUGAGGAAUUGUUAGAGUAGCUGUUGUCGUCAUCUCCUCCUUUCAUUGGAUAUAAUUCCACCAUUGACAUUGUGGCUGUGCUUUGGCUCGUUGUCUCUGUAUAAGCUAUGGGAUGGUUGUGGUGAGAAUUUUCGCAUCUUUUUUUACAUAUAUUAUUAUCAAAAAACUGUGUUAAAAAAUUAUUGUAAAAAGGGUUGUAGCCAUAAAGAGUAGGGUUCUGAUUCAAACUGAAUCAAAUCAAGGCAAAGAAUACUAACCGAAGUUUUUGGACAAUAGAUCAAAUCAAACUGAAAUUGGUAUCUGUACCAAAUCAAAUCAGUUGGUUCGGCCGGAUUUAGUUUGUUGCCAUAUCGAUUCAAUUUUAAGUUAAUUGAUGAAUUUCUAUAAAACUGACUUGAACUAAGUAAUAAAUUCGGUUUCAACAAAAUAAAUCGACAAAUUCGAUUCAAACCAAUCACUGAUCGAACAAAAUCAGAAUGUGUAGAUUUAGUUUAAGAUUCGAUUCGGUCGGUAAUAAAGAGUGGAAUUUUAAAACUUUUAAAAGAUAAACUAUUUUAUUUGUCAUAUAAAUCAAAGUGAUUUUGCGUUAAAAGUAAUGGCUUUCACUUUUAACGCAAAAUCACUUUGAUUUAUAUGAAAAAUAAAAUAAUUUAUCUUUUCAAAGUUUUAAAAUGUCUAUUUAUAAAAUAAUUAAAACUAAUCAAUUUAAUAUUUCUAAAAAAAAAUCAAUUUAUUUGAUAUCGAGCCGAUAUUAGAACCUUGAUAAGUUUAAAGUUUCCAAACCUAUAAUAAGCCUAAGAUGCUGAAAGACAUAACCAACCCAACAUAAUAAUAGCUAGCCUUUUAGCUAAUAAUUUCAUCAUAAAUAUCGGACCAUUCAUGUCCAUAUAAUAACCAAACAUUAACAUUAAUCAAUAUUGCGUUUAUGUCCUUUUAUAAAUUCUUUUGCCUAACUAUUAUUAAUAUUUUUAUAAAUUAAUAUUAGCUUGGCUAACAGACAAUGAUAGCAACAGCAAGAAAACUCAGCUAUCCUGUAAGUGCAUAAUUUCAUAGAAAAAAAAAAAAUACAAACCAUGUGCCGAAUUAGGUAAGCGUAGUGAUUUUCUCCAUUCACAUAAUAGAACACUCAGACAUUUUGCUUAAAGGAUUUGAGCUCUUUCCACUCAGACCAAUUGUUAGUUAAUUUUAUUGGACUUUCAAUGUUAUAAUAGGAUUUUAAUAUUUAUUCAAAUAUAUAAUCUCUCCUAUCUACUCAAUUUUAUUAUCAAUAUCAACUCUUACAAUGUGUUGCUGCUUAUUUAACAUUGAGAAGCAGGUCUUGCCCAUAUCAACAAGAAAACUUUAAAAAGAAAAUAUGCUUGUAAAUUAGAAAUCACAGAGAAUUGAUCACGCACGUUUUAGAGCAAGAAAUACUUGAGAAGUUUCUGCUAAGCUGGCCUGCAACUGGGAAGACAAUUCUUGCGUCUUCUUAAGAAACCGAUCAAACAAUUCAUCUAUAAUCCCACUUCAAAAUUUUGGCUAAUAAUUCAUCUUUUUCAGAUAAAAUAACUAGGACUCAAAGUACCGUGUCUUUCUUGUUCAGCAAUUGCUACAGUAAAAGUACAAAAUCUACUAGUGACAUUCUUGUGUAAGUAGGACUUAAUGGAAAAUGUCAUAGCUCCUAGUUUGUAUGAAAUUCUCCAUACAGUUCAUGCCAAUGCCUACUUUAUAAAGUGGGACAUGAUUUAUCACUGAUGAGAGCAUGGACUCUUAGACUGGAGAAACGAAUAUAAAACAGUCAACAACUUCAAGUUUUAUAAAAGAUGUAUGGAUUGAUUUGAUAUGUUUAUUUGAAAAGUUUAUCUUGAUUCCUAUAUCUUUUUCUUCUUGUCCUCGUUUGUUUUUUUGUGUGUGUGUGUGUGUGUGUGUUUGUCAGGACUUGGUAUUUAUGGUGGAUAAUAUGUGAAUGAGAUAACCAUAUUCUGAUAUUUGCCUUGAUAAAAACUUGUUUGAUGUGUCUUCUUUAUUUUUCUUCAAUUUGAUGUUUUCGUGACCUUAAGUUUAACUCUUAAUUAGAAAAACUUUGUUUAUUGCUAUGCAUGUGGUUCUACCCAUAGCUGUUUAUAUAUAAAUAUAUCUAUUUUUUCCCGAAGUCAUUUUGCCCACAAUUGGAUAUAACUAUAACAUAUUUCCAUAAAGGGCUUUAUAUAUCUCCAUUUUUUUUUUUUGGGCAGUUACAUUUUGCUCCAUCUCUCAAAGUCAAGCAAUUUCUUAAUUUUAAUAAAUUUGUUGUUUGUCCAGGACACAGCAAGGGCCAUUCUGAAGAAUGCUGCUGGCGUGGUGGUUAUUGAUGAUCGGGCAUCCAAUCACUUCCCAACGCCAUUGGAGAUAUCAAACAAAGAUGAUGUUGCAGUCGGUAGAAUCCGCCGUGAUGUUUCUCAAGAGGGGAAUCAUGGGUAAAACUCACUUGCAAGCUAUUUUUUUUUUUUUCCCACUAAAUAAUUAAAUAGCCUUUAUAGACCAUCUUACUAAUGCUGGAAUUCCAAGCAGGUUGGAUAUAUUUGUUUGUGGGGAUCAGAUACGCAAGGGCGCUGCACUUAAUGCCAUUCAGAUUGCUGAGUUGCUGCUAUAGUCCCCUUUAGUUUUAGUUUUAGGUUCCAUAUAAUGCUCUUAUUUAGUGUGAUGAGGCCAGGUGGUUUUGGAUCAUAAGCUAUUUUCUAGUCUUCACUUGCAGAUAUUCAUUGAUAUAAUGAGGUUGAGCAAAUUCGAAAAGUUCCUGUACUAUAAGUUUGUUACGUUGCCCCUUUGAAGUUUCACUUGAUUGUAUUCAUAUGCUCUGUCUUUACAAUGAAGUAAAAUUUUGUUAUAUUGUAUUCAUAUGCCAUAGCUGGACACUGUAUGAGGAUGUAUUGCAGUAGACUCAUUGAAUCUCAAUCUACUGCAAUGGGAUAUUUCUCGCUCGCAUAUUUUAUGUACAAAGAUUCUCUUACCAUUGAGUAAGUCAUAGCCUCCAAUCGGACCAAUCCACUUAACAAGAAAAGAUCACUAGUUGUUCUUUCUCUCUUUCUUUUUUGGAUUUGCAUGUGUGAUUUCAUAUUCGGGUCAGGACUGGUGUUCAGAUGCUCCGUGAAGACUGGUAUUAUAGCGACUCUUGGUAUGCUACCACAUUACUAAGCCUUAAUUUUUCACAGAAAUUGUGAUGAGGAUAUCGGAGAAGCAACUCAAGAAGCAGCGUCCUGUUAAACAUUUCGACAUUUUUCCUGAAGGAUUAUUCUGUGACCGAGGACACAAGCUCACUCCAAAAGUUUAUUCUCUUGUUACAUUUUUUAGGGUCAAGUUUGAACUAUACAUGAAAGCCGAUCCCACCUCUCAUUCACUAGCAAGUUGAGGAAUUGACUCUCCAUGGGAAGCAUAAUUAGUGAGAAUAGUUUUUAUUUUUCAUUUCAUGCAUUAGAAAUUCUUUUAUGGCACCGUUUGGAAAAGUUUAUAUGCAAUAAUUUUUCAACUUAUAAUUGUAUUAGAAGAAUUGAAUUUCAUUCUUAUAAUCUUAUGUAAAAAUUGUUUCACGUACCAUGUAAAGCGGUAAUGAAUUCAAUUUAUUAUUUUAUUUUCUUCAUUAUCUAUGUUUAUUCAAAUAAAUUCAAUAAUAAUCCGAAUGAAGUAGUUCGGUGAUAAAGAAUACUUACGGAGUAAAUCACUAUGAUUUGAGUCAUAGGUUUGAUCCUCCGUCAACGCAAAUUUUUCUGGGCCAAUCCUUUUGCCUCCAAAAGCGAGUAAAAAUUAAUUAGAUUUGUGGGUUGUCAAAAUGGACACGGGCCGAAUACUUCGAGCAAUGCCUCAAUUUGACAAUUAACUUCUGAAAGGGUUUUGGAUUGAUUGACAUAUGUUGUUUAAAUUUGUAACUAUAUUCUACAUUUUUUUUUUUUUGCUUGUCAUGUUUAAACAGGAAUCUAAACACAGACACCUGAGAGAGUAAACUAAUAUUUUUAUUUUUCUUAUUGAUAAAAAACUAAAUAAAUCUAAUUAAUAUUAGUUACAAAUAAUUUCUUUUAAUAAAUUUCGCUUGCUUAAUAAAAAAUCUCAUAAAUAAAAUUUCCUUGUGUUAUUUAAAUUAAAGACAUAAAACGAGUAAACUAGCCAUCCUAUUCCUUCCCUCGUAGGAAUCGGAGAUUGGCCACUUACGCAGUCAAAGCAAAAGCGGUUGAGUUGAGUUGAGAAGGAUGGAUGAUUAAAAACGGCGUUAAGGUUUUAGCUAAGGUCGUCAACACUUGAUAACUUCAUCUUCUACUUCACGAGGAAGUUUAAACUUUCAAAGAAUAAUUAUUUAAGGUAACGACAAAGGUUCUCUCUUGUGGAGAGCAGGAUGAGGUGGCCCCUUCCUUCCUUGCAAUUAGCAAUGAUAGAAAACCUUAUUUUCCUUUGUCCUUUCCAAGUUUCUUCUAUUUCCAUAAAAUACAUAAGGAACGUUUACUCUCUUAUCCAUGUAAAUACUGUAACAUUUACAGUGGUGUUUAGAUUUUAAGAGGAGGAAUAAUGAAAUGUUAUUUUUUUAAAUAUUUAAUAAAACGCCAAUAAAACAAUUCAUGGUUAAAUAUUAUUAAAAUAACGAAAUUUACACCGUCUUUUUUAGAUAACUUUCUAAUAAAUUUUUAUUUAUUUAUUGAAAUACCUUGAUAUUUUAAAAAUUGUUACUUAUUAAAAAAUGUUAUUCAAAAUCUUCUAAAAGAACAUUUUAUUCAAACUAAAAAAAUCACUCAUUUAACACUGUUUACAUUAAUUAACUAGUUAUUUGUUCUAAUAGGAUACAAGUUACCUUGAAUGAUAAUUAACUUAUUUCAACUAAGACAUGAAGCGGAAUGUUAGAAAAUCGUGAGUUAUCUAUUUUGAUAAAAGAAAAUAGUUAUCCUAGUUCUAUUUGAUACCUUUUUUUUUUCCUCAAAUACUUAUUAUAUUUAGAUAUUUCACUUCUCUUAAUUAAGAAAAUCAUUUAAUUUAUAAUAAAUUAUUCAGUGAGUUUAUUAUAUUAUUUUUAAUUUUUUAUUUGAGUUAAAAUCAUUCAACUGAUAUUGAUCAUAAUAAAAUAAAAAAUUUAUUAUUUAUUAAAUCCAUGAAUGUAAUAAGUAUUUAAUAUAUAUAUAUUUUUAAAUUUGACAAGUACUUGCGGUAAUGGUUUUUAGGGUAAAAAUUCAAGAUUUGGAAAUGGAGACAUUUUUUGAAACUUGCAUGUAAGAUUGCAAGUGAUUGGAUAAAUUGGUAUCAGAGACCGCGAUGUAUUCACGCGGAGGAGUGGUCCCAAUAAACGGGACAAUAAUAUGGGCUUUCACUAUAGUGUAUCCGGACUACAAGCAUUAUAUAAACACUAUCCAAUAGUUUUUAUCCACGUCAGCAAAUUCAAGCAGUAGCGUCCGUUACUUACCGCGUUAACGUAUGUCGACGUCAUAAUAAACGUCAACCUAGAAAGAGUGCUGCGAUGGAGGGAAUCAUGGCUUUUUUUUUUCUUCUUGUGUACGAGGGCAACACAGUGUCACAGAGAGACUUACAUUGACUGAUUGGAGAAAAAGCAGAUGAAAAUUUGCUUGCUCAAAGACAGAGAAAGAGCGACUUGAAUGUGAAACUGUUUCUAUCGCUGGUUUCGUUUCUGGUUUCUUGGAUGAGAACUGAAGUGGUUUAAUUUGAGUGAGCGAGUGAUAAUUUGGUUUCUUUAUUUUACUUUUCUGGUAAGGUCUCAAACCUUUAUUUGAUUCUUUGAUUGCUUUCUUUCCAAGUAUAAUUUCCAGAAUGUGGAUACAUCCAUUAAAAAAAGUUUUCAUCCUUAUGCUAAAUUUUACUUUUUUUGGGAGUCUGUUUUCUUUUAAUUUUUAGAUAAAUGAGAUUGCUUUAUUAGCCUCUUUAGUGUAGGUGGCUUUGAUUCUGGAAUACAUAUAUUAUUGAUGUACUCUAUGAGUGUUUUGUGUUAUCAGAUUCGUAGUUGAUUUUUUUUUUUUUUGGCAAUUCUGUGUUUUCUUUUACCAAUAUAUCCAUCUCUCUCUUCUUGUGAAAUUUACUUAGAAAAGGUGAUUCGGUUAUUUUAUUUAUAUCGGCUUGCAAUAGCUGGCAUAUAAUUGGGGCAUUGUGGCUAUAUCUGACAAGGAUCGAUGUGGUAUGGUUUUUGAUAAAGAUUAAUGAUGGAAGAGUAAUAAAAGGAUAAACUUGUUAAUGAUUCAAAAACCAUGCUUGGAUGCUGAACGCAAUUUUAGGUUUUUAGAUUGAGUGAUUUUCAGCUUUUAGCAGUUCUUGAUGAUAGUGUAGUUAUAAGCAUUGUUUUGUUUUUCUUAUUUAUUUCAUUGCAGUGUCUUAUAUUUUUUUGACAUAAGCUAUAAAUUUCAUCACAUCAAUCUGAGUAAAAUGCUUGGCUUCUUUGUGCAUUCCAUUGUUUUUGUGUUAAAUGCAAUGCUAUUUUUUCUUGCCUCUGUUGCUUUCCACAUAGAGUUUGUGUUUUCAAUGAUUCUAUUUAAUCUCGAAUAUUGAUUUCAUUUCAAAAUCGUUAUACUUCAGGUUGUGGUUAACAUGUAUUUGGUGCUGAUUCUGGACAUGCGUGUAAACCCUUUGAUUCUCCACAUUUGUUCGGAGUUCAUAUUUAGAUUAUGCUGAUAUAAUUAUUCAUUAAGGAAGCCAUUGAUUAAAUUCAUAACCAGCACAUGGUGGAUCCUGCAUUAUUUUGCCAUAGUAGUUACAGAGUCAUAUUUGGAAGCUUGUGGGGGUCUGUUCAUAAUCACGAAAUUUUUAUUUAUAAGUUAUUACCUUUCAUAUUUUCUACAUUGGAUUAGCUUUAUGAUUGACCGCAUGACAAUGCCUACAAGAAAGUUAUACUCAGAAUCUUUGAUCAUUUACAUUGUGGAAGUGCAUAUCUCCCUAAAAAUUUCGGAGCGUUAGUAUCUGUAGUGGGUGAUUCAGUUUGUUCUAUUUUGACUACAGAAUUUCUUUGAUGGGUAAGACGAUUCAGGUGUAUGGAUUCCCUUCCCAUGUGACUGUAGAUGAAGUCAAGAAGUUUCUGGAAUCACAUUCAGGGGAAGGAACUGUUUUUGCAAUGAAGAUCAGGGAAACCAAAAAUAGGGGUCGAAGAAAAUAUGCUAUUGUUCAAUUCCAGACUGCCAGAGAUGCUGAAUUAAUUAUAUCUUUGACUAAUAAACGUCUUCGGUACGGCACUUCAUAUCUCAAGGCUCGGCCUUUGGAUAAUGAUAUUGUACCAAAGCCCAGAACGUUUUUACACAGCAUGGACCAUAUAACACUGCAUUUUGGAUGUCAGAUAUCAAAAGAAAAGUUUUCUGUUCUAUGGACAGGGACAAAUGUUUCGGUGAAUUUUGGAUUUGGAAUGAGAAAAUUGCAAUUUUUUCUAUCUCAUGGACAAAUGGGCUACAAGCUUGAACUUUCUUAUGAGAAUGUUUGGCAGAUGGAGCUACAUUGUCCACGAGGUCGAUCUGUGAAAUAUCUUCUAAUUCAGGUUUCUUCAAUAUAUUUUAUUUAAUUUUUGGAUUAUUAAAUACCGUUUCUUGAUACUCUUACAGCAUUUUUCUCUGUUAUUUGAAAUUCUUUAUAGGGCUUUUUCGAACCUUGGAAAUGCCUUUUUUGCCCUGUUAUUUAUUGCACGGAUGAACUAUGUUUUCCUUUUACAUAAACAAAUUGUUGAGCUGCAUAGUGGGCAUAGUAAUUAAAGGCGCAAGGGGCACCUAUGCGCAAAGAGCUAUUGGAGCCUAGGUGCUAGCCUGAGUGAAGUGAGGCGCGAAAAUUAGAAAUAAAUAAAACACAUAAACAAAAAAAAAGGCAACAAGACAAGUUAUAUUGUAAGAUAUUGGAGUUAAGAUAGAAAAGUAAAAUCACGAAAUGAAAAAAAGAAAAAAAAGAAAGAAAGAAUAUAGAAAGCAAAUUGGAAGAGAAAUUGAGAGAGGCAUGUCUGAAUGGCUGUUAGCCAAAGGCUAGACUGGAGGGGGUGAGUGCUAGAUGGAGUGGAGGCUGGAUCUAAAGCAUAUCAUUGGUUUUUGUGAUAUAAUGACAAAGGAUUCAUAUGCCCAACCUCAACUAGUUUGGGGUUAAGGCCUUUAUUGUUGUUAUGUUGUUGUAGUAGAUACUGGGCUAGACAGUUUUAUAUUCAAAGGCGACUUGUUAAAACAAAAAUUAGAAAGACGGGCCUUUCUUGGGCCUAAGGCCGAAAAAGGCCCAAAAAGGCUAGUCGCCGGCCUGCGGACUGUUGAGUCAUAAUCCCUUGAAUUUGAAGUUGAACCUUAAGUAAGGCAUGAGGCACGCCUUUAAUGAGUAUGAUGGUGUGAAAAUGAAUUCUCUUAUUAGUAGUAAAUUGAACAAUUUACUUAUAUCUCGGUUACGACUAAAGCAUGAUACAUGCAUGUAUUUUUUUUUUCCUUGCCAUAUGUGGUGUUAUCAAGAAAAUUUGGAUAUUCCUAUUGGUUUGCUUGAACUUUCUGCUGGCUUUUCUAACAGACUGAAUACCUUUUUGAACUAAUAAGUUAAUUAUUUGUUUCUUUUGGUGUCCAAACAUGGGCUUAGAGUUUUCGCUCAUUCGUGGUUUUGAUUUCUUACAUAUGUGUGUCUGCAGUCUGAGUCUAAUUGUUUUAAUUGACAAUUUUUCUACUGGUCAGCCGUGCAUUAUAUAUUUCAGGCAAAAUAAUUAGCAUUCGGAAUAUAGAAAUUGUGCUGAUUAACUCAGAAAGCGUUAAAGCAGUGCUAUUGUUUGACAUGUAUUGAUGUCAAAUAUAUGAUCAGAGACUGGUUUUUAUGCAUGUGAGGGUAUAAAGCACUAGGCACUUGUUAAAAAUUUAAAAUCUUGUCCAAACUCUUGACUGAUGUUUGCUGGUUCUUUAAUCAUUCUGCAGAUAUUUUAACUCUUUUAGAUUUAAGUGAUAUGCUUUAUCUUUAGUUCUCAAUCUUUCAUGCUUCACUGGUCUUCUGCACAUGGUCUGUGCACGUGUCGUUACCCACCUCUGUUUAAAUAACUUACCGUUUAUCCAAAAACUAGCAAAAUAAGGUACUCUUGAUGGAUAGGGGCACAGAGAUUUUAAUAUGGUUUUAUCAAUAAAAUUGGCAAACUUUCUAUCUCAGGGAAUUUGAAAGAGUUGUCCCUUGGUUAAGUUUACUAAUAUGAGGAUCUUAUCAGGCAAGAUAGCUGAAUUCCUUUUUCCUGCUGGUAGAAAUGUGGCAUUUGUGAUUCACUGACUUGCCAAAAUAAAUGGGAAGUGGAAUCUAAGGCCAAGGGUUUACUUACUUGGGAAUUGAAAGGUGCUUACUGUUUUGCUGAAUAAAAAAAAGCUGUAUGUCAUGUAAAAAGUUUCCCUUUUCCUUAUUUUUCUUUCUGUUGGUAAUUUGUGCUUUUAUUGGGUUCAUUUAUGUCAUUAGUCUGAAUGUGAUGCAUACAAUAAUCAAACAAUUUGUGCUAUCUCUUUUUUCAUGUAAGAUUUCAAGUAAAAAUGCAAACUGCUAAUUUGGUUUCUGUUUUUUUAGUUAUAUGGUGCACCCCGAAUUUUUGAGAAAGAGAUUGCAACAUUUAAUGUGUUUGAGAUUCCGCUUUUCAACGACUUGAAGGAUACCCCUGAUGAGCAAUGGGUCAGGACAAUCGAUUUCACACCAUUCUGCCUUAUUGGGCAUUCAUCUGGAUUAUGUUUGGAGUUUCCUUCCAGCAUUAAUGUUCCAAAAUUUCAGGAGAACUUUUCUUACUAUAAAGAAAGUGAAGGAAUUUUUGUUUUGGAGAAUGGCAAUGCUUUUUC